GAUGAACGCUGGCGGCGUGCCUAAUACAUGCAAGUCGAGCGAACGGACGAGAAGCUUGCUUCUCUGAUGUUAGCGGCGGACGGGCGAGUAACACGUGGAUAACCUACCUAUAAGACUGGGAUAACUUCGGGAAACCGGAGCUAAUACCGGAUAAUAUUUUGAACCGCAUGGUUCAAAAGUGAAAGACGGUCUUGCUGUCACUUAUAGAUGGAUCCGCGCUGCAUUAGCUAGUUGGUAAGGUAACGGCUUACCAAGGCAACGAUGCAUAGCCGACCCGAGAGGGUGAUCGGCCACACUGGAACUGAGACACGGUCCAGACUCCUACGGGAGGCAGCAGUAGGGAAUCUUCCGCAAUGGGCGAAAGCCUGACGGAGCAACGCCGCGUGAGUGAUGAAGGUCUUCGGAUCGUAAAACUCUGUUAUUAGGGAAGAACAUAUGUGUAAGUAACUGUGCACAUCUUGACGGUACCUAAUCAGAAAGCCACGGCUAACUACGUG
rnacentral:rRNA from 1 species